UGGGGGAUAUUGCACAAUGGGCGAAAGCCUGAUGCAGCGACGCCGCGUGGGGGAUGAAGGCCUUCGGGUUGUAAACUUCUUUUGCUCUGAACAAGGCAUGCUAAUGGGUGUGUUGAGUGUAGGGGUUGAUUAGCGCCGGCUAACUACGUGCCAGCAGCCGCGGUAAUACGUAGGGCGCGAGCGUUGUCCGGAAUUAUGUGGCGUAAAGGGCUUGUAGGUGGCUGGUUGCGUCUGUCGUGAAAGCUCAUGGCUUAACUGUGGGUUUGCGGUGGGUACGGGCUGGCGUGAGUGCAGUAGGGGAGGCUGGAAUUCCUGGUGUAGCGGUGGAAUGCGCAGAUAUCAGGAGAAAUACCGGUGGCGAAGGCGGGUCUCUGGGCUGUUACUGACACUGAGGAGCGAAAGCAUGGGGAGCGAACAGG
rnacentral:rRNA from 1 species